GAUGAACGCUGACAGAAUGCUUAACACAUGCAAGUCGAUUCGAUUUACCUUCGGGUAUUGAGGAUGGCGGACGGGUGAGUAACGCGUAAGGAACUUGCCUCUUGGUCUGGGACAACUGUUGGAAACGACAGCUAAUACCGGAUAUUAUGAGAUUCUCGCAUGGGAAACUUAUGAAAGCUAUAUGCGCCAAGAGAGAGCCUUGCGUUCCAUUAGCUAGUUGGUGGGGUAACGGCCCACCAAGGCGACGAUGGAUAGCCGGCCUGAGAGGGUGAACGGCCACAAGGGGACUGAGACACGGCCCUUACUCCUACGGGAGGCAGCAGUGGGGAAUAUUGGACAAUGGGCCACAAGCCUGAUCCAGCAAUUCUGUGUGCACGAUGAAGGUCUUCGGAUUGUAAAGUGCUUUCAGUUGGGAAGAAGAAAGUGACGGUACCAACAGAAGAAGCGACGGCUAAAUACGUGCCAGCAGCCGCGGUAAUACGUAUGUCGCAAGCGUUAUCCGGAUUUAUUGGGCGUAAAGCGCGUCUAGGCGGAAAAAUAANUCUGANGNUAAAAUGCGGGGCUCAACUCCGUAUUGCGUUGGAAACUGUUUUUCUAGAGUACUGGAGAGGUGGGCGGAACUACNAGUGUAGAG
rnacentral:rRNA from 1 species